GAACAACGCUGGCGGCGUGCCUAACGCAUGCAAGUCGGGCGGGGCCGUCUUUCGGGAUGGUUCAGCGGCGGACGGGUGAGUAGCGCGUGACCGACCUGCCCGCUGGUGGGGGACAACCCCGGGAAACCGGGGCUGAUACCGCAUGAGUCCGUCGGCCGGUGGGGUCGGCGGGGAAAGCCUUUCGGGGCGCCGGCGGAGGGGGUUGCGUCCGAUUAGCUAGUCGGUGGGGUGACGGCCUACCGAGGCGACGAUCGGUCGCGGGUCUGAGAGGACGGCCCGCCACAGGGGGACUGAGACACGGCCCCCACACCUACGGGUGGCAGCAGCGAGGGAUUUUCGGCAAUGGGCGCAAGCCUGACCGAGCAACGCCGCGUGCGGGACGACGCCCCUCGGGGUGUAAACCGCUUUUGCCGGGGGCGAGACUGACGGUACCCGGCGAAUCAGCCUCGGCUAACUACGUGCCAGCCGCCGCCGUAACAC
rnacentral:rRNA from 1 species